GAUGAAGAACGUAGCGAAAUGCGAUACGUAAUGUGAAUUGCAGAAUUCAGUGAAUCAUCGAAUCUUUGAACGCAUAUUGCGCUCUCUGGUAUUCCGGAGAGCAUGCUUGUUUGAGUAUCAGUAAACACCUCAACUUCCAUAUCUUUUUUGAAAUGGGAGUUGGACUUGAGUGAUCCCAACGCUUUUCCUCACCGAAAAGUGGCGGGUUACUUGAAAUGCAGGUGCAGUUGGACUUUUCUCUGAGCUAUAAGCAUAUCUAUUUAGUCUGCCUAAAAAACAGAUUAUUACCUUUGCUGCAGCUAACAUAAAGGAGAUUAGUUCUUGUGCUGACUGAUGCAGGAUUCACAAAGACAGCUUCGGCCGACUUUGUAAACUCGAUCUCAAAUCAAGUAAGACUACCCGCUGAACUUAAGCAUAUCAAUAAGCGGAGGA
rnacentral:misc_RNA from 1 species